rnacentral:rRNA from 1 species
AAAAGCUUUCUUUAAUUGAAUAAUUGAAUUUAAUUUUUUAGUGCAAAAGCAAAAAUAAAAAUUAGGGACAAGAAGACCCUAUGAAUUUUUAUUAAAUUUUAUAAAACUUUAUAUAAAAUUUAAUUUAAUUGGGGUGAUGGAAAAAGAAUAAAUAUCUUUUUUUUAAAAAAAAUUGGUUCCGUUUUUAGCGAUUAAAUGAAAAAAAUACUCUAGGGAUAACAGCGUAAUAAUUUUGGAUAGUUCAUAUAGAUAAAAUAGUUUGCGACCUCGAUGUUGGAUUAGGAUUCUUUUUUGGUGAAGAAGUUAAAAAAAGAAGUUUGUUCAACUUAUAAUUUCCUACUUGAUCUGAGUUCAGACCGG